AUUGAACGCUGGCGGCAUGCCUUACACAUGCAAGUCGAACGGCAGCGCGGACUUCGGUCUGGCGGCGAGUGGCGAACGGGUGAGUAAUGCAUCGGAACGUACCUUUCAGUGGGGGAUAACGUAGCGAAAGUUACGCUAAUACCGCAUAUUCUGUGAGCAGGAAAGCAGGGGAUCGCAAGACCUUGCGCGGAUUGAGCGGCCGAUGUCAGAUUAGCUAGUUGGUGAGGUAAAGGCUCACCAAGGCGACGAUCUGUAGCGGGUCUGAGAGGAUGAUCCGCCACACUGGGACUGAGACACGGCCCAGACUCCUACGGGAGGCAGCAGUGGGGAAUUUUGGACAAUGGGGGCAACCCUGAUCCAGCCAUGCCGCGUGAGUGAAGAAGGCCUCCGGGUUGUAAAGCUCUUUCGGCCGGGAAGAAAUCGCAUGGGUUAAUACCCUGUGUGGAUGACGGUACCGGAAUAAGAAGCACCGGCUAACUACGUGCCAGCCGCCGCAGUAACAC
rnacentral:rRNA from 1 species